rnacentral:rRNA from 1 species
AGCGUUGUCCGGAAUUACUGGGCGUAAAGGGCUCGUAGGUGGCCAACUAAGUCAGACGUGAAAUCCCUCAGCUUAACUGGGGAACUGCGUCUGAUACUGGAUGGCUUGAGAUUGGGAGAGGGAUGCGGAAUUCCAGGUGUAGCGGUGAAAUGCGUAGAUAUCUGGAGGAACACCGGUGGCGAAGGCGGCAUCCUGGACCAACACUGACACUGAGGAGCGAAAGCCAGGGGAGCAAACGGG